UCAAGUUAUUAAGGGUGCAGGGCGGAUGCCUUGGCACUAGGAGCCGAUGAAGGACGUGAUAAGCUGCGAUAAGCUUCGGGGAGUUGCACGUAAACUUUGAUCCGAAGAUUUCCGAAUGAGGAAACUCACUUAGAGUAAUGUCUAAGUAUCAUUAAGUGAAUACAUAGCUUAAUGAGGGGAACUCAGGGAACUGAAACAUCUAAGUACCUGAAGGAAGAGAAAGAAAUUCGAUUCCGUAAGUAGCGGCGAGCGAACGCGGAUUAGCCCAAACCAAUAAAGUUUUCUUUAUUGGGGUUGCGGACAUAUCAUAACGAAGAGGUAUCGUAAUUGAAGAGGUUUGGAAAGACCCACCACAGAAGGUAAUAGUCCUGUAUGUUAAACGAGAAGACUUUAGAUAUGAUCCAGAGUACCACGGGACACGUGAAACCCUGUGGGAAGCAGGAGGGACCACCCUCCAAGGCUAAAUACUACCUAGUGACCGAUAGCGUAUAGUACCGUGAGGGAAAGGUGAAAAGAACCCCGGGAGGGGAGUGAAAUAGAACCUGAAACCCUGCACUUACAAGCUGUGGAAGCACAUUUCUUGUGUGACCGCGUACUUUUUGUAGAACGGGCCAACGAGUUACGUUAAGUAGCAAGGUUAAGCACUUAAGGUGCGGAGCCGUAGCGAAAGCGAGUUUUAACUGAGCGUUCAGUUACUUGACGUAGACCCGAAACCGGGCGACCUACCCAUGAGCAGGAUGAAGCGAAAGUAAAAUUUCGUGGAGGUCCGAACCCACGAGCGUUGAAAAGCUCGGGGAUGACUUGUGGGUAGCGGUGAAAUUCCAAUCGAGCCCGGAGAUAGCUGGUUCUCCCCGAAAUAGCUUUAGGGCUAGCCUCAAGGUGAGAGAUACGGAGGUAGAGCACUGAAUGUCCUAGGGGGUAUUGCACCUACCGAAGACUAUCAAACUCCGAAUGCCGUCAUCUUAUACUUGGGAGUCAGACUGUGGGUGAUAAGAUUCAUAGUCGAAAGGGCAAUAGCCCAGAUCGUCAGCUAAGGUCCCUAAAUGUAAGUUAAGUGGUAAAGGAUGUGGGAUUGCACAGACAACCAGGAUGUUGGCUUAGAAGCAGCCACUCAUUCAAAGAGUGCGUAAUAGCUCACUGGUCGAGUGAUCCUGCGCCGAAGAUUUCCGGGGCUAAAACUUACUACCGAAGCUACGGCAUCAUUAUGAUGGGUAGGGGAGCUUCCCAUACGGGUUGAAGCAUGACCGUAAGGACAUGUGGACAGUAUGGGAGUGAGAAUGUUGGCAUGAGUAGCGAGAUGUGGGUGAGAAUCCCACAGGCCGUAAACCCAAGGUUUCCAGGGGAAGGUUCGUCCGCCCUGGGUUAGUCGGGACCUAAGCUGAGGCCGAAAGGCGUAGGUGAUGGACAACAGGUUGAUAUUCCUGUACUACCGAUAACCGUUUGAGAGAAGGGAUGACACAGUAGGAUAAGCUAAGCACACUGUUGGUUAUGUGUGCCCAAGCAUUGAGGCAGUCAAAGUAGGCAAAUCCGCUUUGAUAAUGCUGGGAUGUGAUGGGGAGCGAAAUUUAGUAGCGAAGUAGCUGAUUUCACACUGUCAAGAAAAGUCUCUAUCGAGGUUAAAGGUACCCGUACCGCAAACCGACACAGGUGGGUGAGGAGAGUAUCCUAAGGCCAGCGAGAGAACUGUUGUUAAGGAACUCGGCAAAAUGACCCCGUAACUUAGGGAUAAGGGGUGCCACCAUCAGGUGGCCGCAGAGAAUAGGCCCAAGCGACUGUUUACCAAAAACAUAGGUUUCUGCUAAGUCGCAAGACGAUGUAUAGGAGCUGACGCCUGCCCGGUGCUGGAAGGUUAAGGGAAUCUGUUAGAGCAAUCGAAGCAGUGAACUUAAGCCCCAGUAAACGGCGGCCGUAACUAUAACGGUCCUAAGGUAGCGAAAUUCCUUGUCGGGUAAGUUCCGACCCGCACGAAAGGCGUAACGAUUUGGGCACUGUCUCAACAACAGACUCGGUGAAAUUGUAAUUCCGGUGAAGAUGCCGGAUACCUGCGACAGGACGGAAAGACCCCAUGGAGCUUUACUGUAGCUUGACAUUGGGUCUUGGUACUACAUGUACAGGAUAGGUGGGAGGCUUUGAAACCAGGACGCCAGUUUUGGCGGAGCCAUCCUUGGGAUACCACCCUUGUAGUACUGGGACUCUAACCAUAGGCCAUGAAUCUGGUCUUGGGACACUGUCAGGUGGGCAGUUUGACUGGGGCGGUCGCCUCCCAAAAGGUAACGGAGGCGCUCAAAGGUUCUCUCAGUACGGUCGGAAAUCGUACGUAGAGUGUAAAGGCAAAAGAGAGCUUGAUUGCAAGACAUACAGGUCGAGCAAGGAUGAAAAUCGGACUUAGUGAUCCGGUGGUUCUGCGUGGAAGGGCCAUCGCUCAACGGAUAAAAGCUACCCUGGGGAUAACAGGCUUAUCUCCCCCAAGAGUCCACAUCGACGGGGAGGUUUGGCACCUCGAUGUCGGCUCAUCACAUCCUGGGGCUGUAGUAGGUCCCAAGGGUUGGGCUGUUCGCCCAUUAAAGUGGUACGCGAGCUGGGUUCAGAACGUCGUGAGACAGUUCGGUCCCUAUCCGUCGCAGGCGUAGGAAAUUUGAGAAGACCUGUCCUUAGUACGAGAGGACCGGGAUGGACGUACCUCUGGUGUACCAGUUGUCCUGCCAAGGGCAUGGCUGGGUAGCUAUGUACGGAAUGGAUAAGCGCUGAAAGCAUCUAAGCGCGAAGCCAACUUCAAGAUAAGAUUUCCCACCGCAAGGGUAAGACCCCAGAAAGACUAUCUGGUUGAUAGGUCGAAGGUGUAAGUGCAGCAAUGUAUUUAGCUUAUCGAUACUAAUAGGUCGAGGACUUGACCAA
rnacentral:rRNA from 1 species